GCAGGCGGGUCGGGCCGCUGCCAGGCGGGAGGGAGGGAGGAAAGCCCCUCGGAGCCCACAGCCGGGCAGGGGGAGGCAAAGGGCGGGGCGGGGCCUGCGGGCCGCGGGUGGGGGGGAAUCAUCCCACGUCCGAAGGUGUCGCGCUGCGCUUUCCCAGCAGCCGCGGCCGCAAGGCGAGGCUGCGGCCCGAGGCGCCUGGCUGCGCGCCCGCGGCCAGCCCAGCCCUGCCCAGCCCUGCCCUGCCCAGCGCCGCACCCCACGGCCACACGCAGCGAGGCCCGCACCGCUAAGCGCAGGACGGGCGGCGCUGCGGGCGGACGGAACCCAGCGGGCGGCCCCGGGCCGCCGCCAGCGCCGGUGGUGGGCCCCGCCCUGGGCCGCGCCGCACUUCAAAGGCGCUCCGCUGGCGGCGCGCGGCGGCCUCGCCCUGCCUGACAGGAACCGCCCGCGGCGGGUGGACGUGGCCGCGAGGCCGGGCCCGGCCCUGCCCUGCCCAUAGCGGGGCGGUGCCGGCGCGCCACACUCAAGAUGGCGCCGGGGCGGACGGCGCCGUCGCAGCGUGCGCAUGCGCCGCUCCGUCUACAAAAGCGCGGGUCGCGUUCCGCGCAAGCGCACCGCCUGCGCGCCUGGGCGCGGAGGACAACGCGCAUGCGCGAGAGGGCGUCCCGGCGGCGGCGCCUGCGCAGUGCCCAGGGCGGGGCGGCCCGCGCCUGCGCGCUGCCGGCCCGCCGUCCCGGCGCAAGAUGGCGGCGGCGGGGCGGGCGAGGCGGAGGUGGGGCGGCAGCGGGGAGCGCGACGGUGCGCGGUGCCCACAGCCCCCGGCCUCACGCCCAGCGGCCCCCGCGGGCCCGGCGCGGGACGCCCCGCUAUGAGGAUGCGGCCCCGGCGCGCCAGCGGCGAGCACCGAGCGACGGCCCCGCGUCCCGCCCGGCAGCAGCGCGCCCCCUGUGGUUGCUGAGAAAUGGCCAAUGAGAAUCACGGAAGCCCUGCGGAGGAGGCAUCUCUAAUGAGUCACUCACCUGGCACCUCCAACCAGAACCAGCCCAGCUCCCCCAAACCUAUGCGACUGGUACAGGACCUCCCAGAUGAGCUGGUGCAAGCUGGCUGGGAGAAGUGCUGGAGCAAGAGGGAGAAUCGCCCGUACUACUUCAACCGCUUCACCAACCAGUCCCUGUGGGAAAUGCCUGUUCUGGGACAGCAUGAUGUCAUUUCAGACCCUCUGGGAUUGAAUGCAGCUCCUAUGCCACUGGAAAGUGGAAUGGUAGAGACCUCAGUGGAGAGCAAGCAAAGGAAGAGGAGAUUCUCUGAGGAGGUUCCCCCAAGUGGCAACAGUGUGAAAAAGCCCAAGUCGGAUAUUCCGGGGAACCCAGCCGCUCAGCCAGUCCCCAGCUCUCCCAGUAUUCCAGGAUCCUCUGUUUUGAAGGCAUGGUGUGUUUCACCUGAAGAUAAGCAGCAGGCAGCUCUUCUACGGCCAACUGAAGUAUACUGGGACCUGGAUAUUCAGACAAAUGCAGUGAUUAAGCAGAGGGCACCAUCUGAAGUGCUGUCUCCACACCCUGAAGUGGAGCUGCUUCGAUCGCAGCUCAUUCUCAAGUUGCGGCAACAUUAUCGUGAGCUCUGCCAGCAGCGAGAAGGGAUUGACCCCCCAAGGGAGUCUUUUAACCGCUGGAUGUUGGAGAGGAAGGUGGUUGAUAAAGGGACAGAUCCUCUUUUACCGAGUGACUGCGAGCCAGUAGUGUCUCCUUCCAUGUUCAGAGAAAUCAUGAAUGACAUUCCCAUCAGGCUAUCCAGAAUUAAGUUCCGUGAAGAAGCCAAGAGAUUGCUCUUCAAGUAUGCUGAGGCUGCAAAACGGCUCAUUGAAUCCAGGAGUGCAUCACCAGACAGCAGGAAGGUGGUGAAAUGGAAUGUGGAGGACACCUUCAGCUGGCUGCGACGGGACCAUUCUGCUUCUAAGGAGGACUACAUGGACCGCCUGGAGCACUUACGUAAGCAGUGUGGGCCCCACGUGUCUGCUGCAGCAAAGGACUCUGUUGAAGGCAUCUGCAGUAAGAUAUACUACAUAUCCCUUGAAUAUGUCAAGCGGAUCCGGGAGAAGCAUCUUGCCAUCCUCAAAGAAAACAAUAUAUCUGCUGAGGUAGAAGCUCCUGAAGUCCAGGACAGGCUCGUGUACUGUUACCCAGUGAGACUGGCCAUCCCCUCCCCACCACUCCCCAGUGUGGAAAUGCACAUGGAAAACAAUGUGGCAUGUGUGCGGUACAAGGGGGAAAUGGUGAAAGUGAGCCGCAACUACUUCAGCAAGCUGUGGCUUCUCUAUCGGUACAGUUGCAUUGACGACUCUGGCUUUGAAAAGUUCUUACCCAGGGUUUGGUGCCUUCUCCGUCGAUACCAGAUGAUGUUCGGUGUGGGUCUGUAUGAAGGAACUGGCCUGCAGGGGGCACUUCCUGUGCACGUCUUUGAAGCCCUCCACAAGCUCUUUGGAGUGAGUUUUGAAUGCUUUGCCUCGCCACUGAAUUGCUAUUUUAAACAGUACUGUUCGGCCUUCUUGGAUACAGACGGGUAUUUUGGAUCCAGGGGCCCGUGCCUGGAUUUCUUCCCUAUAAGUGGGUCUUUUGAGGCAAAUCCUCCGUUCUGUGAGGAGCUGAUGGAUGCCAUGGUCUCUCACUUUGAGAAACUGCUGGAGAGCUCCAGUGAGCCCCUGUCCUUUAUUGUCUUCAUCCCUGAGUGGAGGGACCCUCCCACACCUGCCCUGACCCGCAUGGAGCAGAGCAAAUUCAAGAGGCACCAGCUCAUCCUGUCAGCCUUCGAUCACGAAUACCGCAGCGGGUCUCAGCAUGUCUGCAAAAAGGAGGAGAUGUACUACAAGGCUGUGCACAACACCGCCGUCCUCUUCCUGCAGAACAGUGCAGGCUUUGCCAAGUGGGAGCCCACGCCAGAGCGGCUGCAGGAACUCGUUGCGGCCUACAAGCAUUCAGGCCGGACCCUCAGCUCCUCAUCAUCCUCCUCCUCCUCGUCCACCUCCUCCACAGACAAGGAGCGAGAGCUGGGCCGGGAGCAAAGCAGCAGCCGGGAGACCAAUGCUAACUGAGGUGCAGAGGUGAGAGGCAGCAGGGGAGGUGCCGGCGGCCCCGAGGAGGCUUGCCGGGCAGGCGGAGAGACUGCUGGCUGUGCAGCACCGGCCCGGGGAACUCUUGCCCAGCAGCUCACGGCACCCGCCUUCCCCUGCAAACUGCACGCCGCCCGCGCCCAGCAGCGCCAGGAGCGCCCGGCUGCCGGCAGGGAGAGGAGCCGGGCCACGGCCUCGCUGGAGGGCCAGGGACCCACGUGUGGGCGGCAGGAGGAGCGGGCGGCCCCGUGGGUGCCCAUACGUGGAUGGAAGGGGCGGCCGGAGCUGGGACGCACGCUGAGGGUGGAAGGACAGCGAGAGGGACGGCCGGCACGAGGCUUAGCGCUCAGCGCUGUGGCUGGAGGGGCCCCAGCGGCGGCCGCAGCCCGGCGCGUGCAGGAGAAGCGGGCAGAGCCCGGGGUCCUGCGGCCGGACUGGCACCAGCACCGCUGUGUCCAUAGUGUAAAUAGUUCUGUCUGUGUUCCUGAGCUCCUCGCAGGGCUGUGCCCGUUGCACCGCGUUCCCUUCCCACGUGUGUGAGUCCCGCGUUGGCCGACGCUGUGUACCGUACCGGAGAGGAGCGGAGGAGAGAAACCCCUUUGGUGUGUAAAGACGUCUUUGCAGCUGUUUUGUAGUCAUUGUGGUUUUUAUGCAGAGCCUCUGGGUUGUAUUUAACCUCCGCGGGUUUUGUUUUAUAAGGAUUAAUUUAACACCGCUAACCAUUUUAUUACUUUUAUCAAGAAGAGCAAAGUCUAUUUUUGAUUUCUGUUUCCUCGUUCUUAGGAACAUUAAAAACCAGCAUUCAGCUCUGCCCUGUUUCAGUGCCUUUCCUCGUCCGUUGGCCAGGGGCCUGCAGUCACCCCCUGCCCUCACCUCUGCCUCGCUCUGAACGUAAGAAAAAUGGUUUUGGUUCUUAGUUGGGCAGAACUGAUCCUUCGAAUCUACGUGGCACAACACUGGGAAGUUACUGAGGAAGUUCUCUGGCAGCUGUGUAGUAUUUUACCCAGAACGUGGAGUGGUAUUUUAUCUGGAAUAUGGAGUGAUAGAAGGCUCACUGACCACAAGAAAAGAUACUGGUCAUGAAAGCGUGGGUAGCUUUGCUGGAAUAUUACUGAGAUGCCUCUUAUCUUUGUGCACCUCGAAAAAGGGCAGUGGGUUUUGUACAGUGUAUAAAAGCUUUCGGUCUUGGAGAAGGAGACUGAUGCCAUAGAGAAGGGGAGAGGCUGAAAGACCUGAGUAAGAACAGCAUAAGUGAUUCCAGGGUGACCUGAGGCAGGGAAGCAUUUGGAGGCAGCACAGUCAGGUAACAGCUGCAGAAGUGCGUACGGUCUUUGUUAACAAAGAGGAUGAGGUUCUCCAGGGACGCUUCCCACUGCUGGGAGGUUGCUGACCUCCUUCAGUGACACUCGCGGGAUACUGAAGAACUCCAGCAGUGAACGGAGCAGCUUGCAAAGCACUUUUCCCCUUCUACUGGUCGUGCUGAAGCAGGGCAGGCUGUUCCUGAAACGCAGCUGACCGCCAGCACACACCGAUGCUUGGAAGUGUCAUCACUGAAGGAGGGGGAGGAGGGGGAGUCCUUUGUCUUUCUCCUGUCAGGUGCUGGCCAAUUACCUCAUUAAGUAUUUAAUUGCCGUGUCAUGGUGGUCAAACGAGGGAGCUGCCCGCCGGUGCUGCAGCAGCCCGCGAGCUGCGGUGUUGGGCUCAGCCAAGAAGCCCAGCAUCCAUCUACCUCCCCCCCCUCCCCCCCGCUCCGCGUUGCCAGGCCAACGGCGCGGCGGAUGCCGGCGGUCCCUGCGGCUGUGCCGGCCCCGCAGCGCUCUACUCGCCUCCCUAUGGGGCUGCCCACCCCCCGCCGCGUGCUUCCCGGGAGCCCCCGCAGGUCCCGUCCCAAUGGCCCACGCGGACGACGCGCGGGGCAGCUGUCAGCUCGCCGCCCGGGAGCCGGAGUGCCAGAUCUGCUACAGCCGCUACGACGCCCGCACCCGCCGACCCGCGGAGCUCCUCUGCGGCCACCGCCUCUGCGCCCGAUGUCUGAGCCGGAUGGUGGCCCUGGGGGACGCGUCGCCCCGACGGCUCCGCUGCCCCUUCUGCCGCCGGCGGAGCCCGGUGCCCGGCGGGGACGCGCGACGGCCGCAGGACGACGGCGAGGGGCCGGUGCCGCCGACGCGCUGUGAGCGGGACCCCCCCUCGCCCCCCGAGGUGCUGCUGUCCCCCAGCGUGCUGCAGCCCUCUCCCGGCGCGGACUGCCUGGUGCUCACCAUCCUGGAGGUGCCCGCGGGCGCGGUGCCCACGGAGGCUCUGGGCGCGCUGGAGGUGGUCCGGCCGCAGCUCCGGCAGAACAGCCGCGCCCGGAGGUGCCGAUCCGCCCCGCGCUGCCUGCUGGGCACGCUGUGCCUGCUGUACUGCAGCUCGCUGCCCCUCGGCAUCUACCUGCUGCUCAGCCGGCACCACGGCCUGGGCCUCGCGCUCGUCAGCCUCCUGCCCGCCGCCCUCCUGCUCUGCGUCUCCUGCAGCCUCUGCCGCUGCCUGUGCCGGGAGCUCUGCGCCUUUCCCUCACCCUGACCCACGCGGCCGAGUCCCGCGGGCCGUGCCGGGGCCGCAUCGCGGCGCGUUGUGGUGGUGCCGAGCGCCAGCAGCGGCGAGCGUUGGGCGGGCGAGGUGUCGGCUCCUGCCCUGCAGGUGAGGGCGGCGCGAGGCUCCGUGCUCACCUCGAGGAGCCCCAGCGGCGGCCGCAGCCCGGCGCGCGCAGGAGAAGCGGGCAGAGCCCGGGGUCCUGCGGCCGGACUGCACCGGCACCGCUGUGUCCAUAGUGUAAAUAGUUCUGUCUGUGUUCCUGAGCUCCUCGCAGGGCUGUGCCCGUCGCACCGCGUUCCCUUCCCACGUGUGUGAGUCCCGCGUUGGCCGACGCCGUGUACCGUACCGGAGAGGAGCGGAGGAGAGAAACCCCUUUGGUGUGUAAAGACGUCUUUGCAGCUGUUUUGUAGUCAUUGUGGUUUUUAUGCAGAGCCUCUGGGUUGUAUUUAACCUCCGCGGGUUUUGUUUUGUAAGGAUUAAUUUAACACCGCUAACCAUUUUAUUACUUUUAUCAAGAAGAGCAAAGUCUAUUUUUGAUUUCUGUUUCCUCGUUCUUAGGAACAUUAAAAACCAGCAUUCAGCUCUG